UUGACAGAAGAGAGUGAGCACACAGAGGCACUUGGUAUAGCUUUAUAUUACUGCUUUUGCGUGCUCAUUUCUCUUUCUGUCAU
rfam:Lupinus angustifolius cultivar Tanjil chromosome LG15, whole genome shotgun sequence.